rnacentral:rRNA from 1 species
GACGAACGCUGGCGGCGUGCUUAACACAUGCAAGUCGAACGGAAAGGCCCUGCUUUUGUGGGGUGCUCGAGUGGCGAACGGGUGAGUAACACGUGAGUAACCUGCCCUUGACUUUGGGAUAACUUCAGGAAACUGGGGCUAAUACCGGAUAGGAGCUCCUGCUGCAUGGUGGGGGUUGGAAAGUUUCGGCGGUUGGGGAUGGACUCGCGGCUUAUCAGCUUGUUGGUGGGGUAGUGGCUUACCAAGGCUUUGACGGGUAGCCGGCCUGAGAGGGGGACCAGCCUCAAUGGGACUGAGGUACGGCCCAGACGCCUACGGGAGGCAGCAGGGGGGAAUAUUGCGGAAUGGGCGGAAGCCUGAUGCAGCAACGCCGCGUGCGGGAUGACGGCCUUCGGGGUGUAAACCGCUGUCGCCUGUGACGAAGCGUGAGUGACGGUAAUGGGUAAAGAAGCAACGGCUAACUACGUG